rnacentral:rRNA from 1 species
GAUGAACGCUAGCGGCAGGCUUAAUACAUGCAAGUCGAGGGGCAGCGCGGGUAGCAAUACCUGGCGGCGACCGGCAAACGGGUGCGGAACACGUACGCAACCUUCCUCCGAGCGGGGCAUAGCCCAGAGAAAUUUGGAUUAAUACCCCAUAUCAUAGUUAAGAAGCAUUUCUUGAUUAUUAAAGAUUUAUCACUUGGAGAUGGGCGUGCGGCUGAUUAGGUAGUUGGCGGGGUAACGGCCCACCAAGCCUGCGAUCAGUAACUGGUGUGAGAGCACGACCAGUCACACGGGCACUGAGACACGGGCCCGACUCCUACGGGAGGCAGCAGUAAGGAAUAUUGGUCAAUGGACGCAAGUCUGAACCAGCCAUGCCGCGUGGAGGAUGAAGGUCCUCUGGAUUGUAAAACUUCUUUUAUCUGGGAAGAAACCCCACGUUUUCUAAUGUGGCUGACGGUACCAGAUGAAUAAGCACCGGCUAACUCCGUGCCAGCCGCCG